rnacentral:rRNA from 1 species
GAAAGUAAAGAAGGGCGCAUGGCGGAUGCCUUGGCUCUCGGAGGCGAUGAAGGACGUGAUAAGCUGCGAUAAGCUUUGGGGAGGUGCAAAUGACCUUUGAUCCAGAGAUUUCCGAAUGGGACAACCCAAUAUCUUGAAGAGGUAUUAUCCAACGUUGUUGGAGGCUAACGCAGGGAACUGAAACAUCUUAGUACCUGCAGGAAAAGAAAAUAAACAAUGAUUCCCCCAGUAGUGGCGAGCGAACGGGGAACAGCCCAAACCAUCCAUGUUACGGCAUGGGUGGGGUUGUAGGACUACGCCGUUGCAUGAAGACAUCAGAGAAGAACUUUCUGGAAAGAAAGACCAUAGAGCAUGACAGUUGCGUAUUCGAAUGUUGUCGAAGCAUAGUAGUAUCCUGAGUAGCGCGGAGCACGAGGAAUUCUGCGUGAAUCUGCCGGGACCAUCCGGUAAGGCUAAAUACUCCCGAGAGACCGAUAGUGAACCAGUACCGUGAGGGAAAGGUGAAAAGCACUUCGAACAGAAGAGUGAAAUAGUUCCUGAAACCGUGCGCCUACAAGCGGUCGGAGCUCGUUAAUGAGUGACGGCGUGCCUUUUGCAUAAUGAACCUACGAGUUGCCUUUGCCGGCAAGGUUAAGUGUGACGACACACGUAUCCGAAGCGAAAGCGAGUCUGAACAGGGCGUAUAGUCGGCAGUGGCAGACGCGAAACCAAGUGAUCUACCCUUGGCCAGGUUGAAGGCUGGGUAACACCAGCUGGAGGACCGCACCAAUAAGCGUUGAAAAGCUUCUGGAUGAGCUGAGGGUAGGGGUGAAAGGCUAAUCAAACUUGGAGAUAGCUCGUACUCCCCGAAAUGCAUUUAGGUGCAGCCUUGCGGGUUACUGAUGUGAGGUAGAGCGACUGAUAAGAUGCGAGGGCUUCACCGCCUAUCAAGUCUUGACAAACUCCGAAUGCGCAUCAGUUCUACCGCAGGAGUGAGGGCAUGGGUGCUAAGGUCCGUGCCCGAGAGGAGAAGAAUCCGGACCACCUGCUAAGGUCCCGAAAUGACAGCUAAGUUAAACUAACGAAGUCUGACUGCUAAGACAGCUAGGAUGUUGGCUUGGAAGCAGCCAUUCAUUUAAAGAGUGCGUAACAGCUCACUAGUCGAGGAGUCGGGCGUGGAUAAUAAUCGGGUAUCAAGUUGUCUACCGAAGCAGUGGGAUCAUUUAUAUGAUCGGUAGGGGAGCAUUCCAGUCGGCGUCGAAGGCGUACCGCGAGGUAUUCUGGAGCGUCUGGAAAAGCAAAUGUAGGUAUAAGUAACGAUAAAGGGGGCGGGAAACCCCCUCGCCGAAAGACUAAGGUUUCCUGAUCAACGCUAAUCGGAUCAGGGUCAGUCGGGUCCUAAGGCUCAGCCGAACGGCGAUGCCGAUGGCAGAAACGGUUAAUAUUCCGUUACUACCUUCAGGAGUGACGUGGAGACGCAGUAGUGACAGUGCCGCCAUCUGACGGAAUAGAUGGUUGAAGGGUGUAGGAGUCGAUCAUGGCAGGCAAAUCCACCAUGAGAUCCGAACCUGACAGUAUGCCGCGUCCUUCGGGACAAGGCAAUAGUGCGCGUAAGCAUGCUGCCGAGAAAAUCCGCUAAACUUAAUCCUGCAGGUACCCGUACCGCAAACGGACACACGUAGUCGGGAUGAAUAUUCUAAGGCGCUUGAGUGAUUCACGGUUAAGGAACUAGGCAAACUGACCCUGUAACUUCGGGAUAAAGGGUCCCUACCCUUUUAUGGGAGGGCGCAGAGAAUCGGUCCAGGCAACUGUUUAACAAAAACACAGGGCUGUGCCAAAUCGAAAGAUCCAGUAUACAGCCUGACACCUGCCCGGUGCUGGAAGGUUAAGAGGAGAUGUCAUCGAUGAGAGAAGCGUUGAAUUGAAGCCCCAGUAAACGGCGGCCGUAACUAUAACGGUCCUAAGGUAGCGAAAUUCCUUGUCG